rnacentral:piRNA from 1 species
AUGCAGCCUAUGUGUAUGUGAGGUGG